GAAUGUGAGGGCAAUCUGGCUGCAACAUCUGUCACCCCGUUGAUCGCCAGGGUGGAUUUGUCUGAUCUGGCUGGCUAGGCGGGUGUCCCCUUCCUCCCUCACGGCUCCCUGUGCGUCCCUCCUGAAGCUGUGCGCUCGGCCGAGGAGGACGACCUUCCCGGCUAGAGGAGGACCAUUCUGCGGUCAAGGGUAUACGAGUAGCUGUGCUCCCCUGCUGGAGCCUCGAAACAAGCUCUCAAAAAUAAUGAAAUACUUUUUUUCCGGCCAUUAUAAUUUAUUCACAUGUCAUGAAUAACAAAUG
rnacentral:snRNA from 1 species